UGUUGAAUUAAGGGAACAUGGUAGAUUAUAGCUGAUGCCCAGAUUGGAAUUAUUCUCACCAUACAUUUCACUUCUUCAACUUGCUGAAUACUGCAAAGUCUCCAAGGAUUAGCAGCUGAGCCAUCCAAGUUUAUUUCAUCUUUUUCUGUAACGAUUGCAGCCUUGUCGAGGAAUCUGAAUUGAUUAGUGUGAGGGAGAUUGGAGUUGAUAGAUUUGGGAGGAACAUAGUUGAAAAGGGAAGGAGCAGGGUUCUGAGGAAGCUUUAGGCCUCGUUUCUUUACGGAAACAACAAGUACUUGAACCACGCUAGUGAUGGGGCUGCCUUCAGGUUUCACAAUAACAUAAAUUCUUGUUCCCAGGAAGAAGACAGCACAAGAAAGGAACAUGAGAAAUGCAGGAAUGGCCAAACCAAUAGCCCAGCUAACGUCAGAUUGAACAUAGACAAUGCCAGU
rnacentral:misc_RNA from 1 species